rnacentral:rRNA from 1 species
AACUAGGAUUAGAUACCCUAUUAUUUAAAAUGUUAAUUUUAAUUGGGUAUUAAUAGUUAUGUUCUUUAAACUUAAUGAAUUUGGCGGUGUUUUAGUCUAUUUAGAGGAACUUGUCUUUUAAUCGAUAAUCCUCGUUUUAUCUUACUUGUUUUUGUUUUCAGUUUGUAUAUCUCCGUUAUAAGUUUAUUCUUUCAGGUUAAUUUACUAUUUAUUAAUUAAAUUAUAUUUCAGGUCAAGGUGCAGCUUAUAAUUAAGUAUUGAUUAGUUACAAUUAUCUUUAAUUAAACGGAUUUAAUUUGAAAUUUUUUAAUGAAGGUGGAUUUAAUAGUAAAUUUAUUUAUAGAAUUAAAUUGAUUUUGGCUCUAGAAUGAGUACACAUCG